AAGUCGUAACAAGGUCUCCGUUGGUGAACCAGCGGAGGGAUCAUUACCGAGUUUACAACUCCCAAACCCCUGUAACAUACCUUAAUGUGCCUCGGCGGACAGCCCGCGCCCGUAAAACGGGACGGCCCGCCAGGGACCCAAACUCUAAUGUUUCUUAUUGUAACUUCUGAGUAAAACAACAAAUAAAUCAAAA
rnacentral:misc_RNA from 1 species